AAUAAAAGAAAAACUAUCAGCACAGCACAAUAUCAAAAAAAUCAACUAACCAGUUCGUCAUCAUCGUUGUCGUCAGUAUGAUUUUAAAAUUGUGCAAAAAUACACAUAAUAUUUUAAUAGUUCCGACGCGUUUAAUCUAUUUCCAAAAGCCCAUAAUACUGUUAAAUAGCGUUAAAUGUUAACAAAAACAAGGAAAAAAUAAAAUUACAAAAAAAGAAAAAGUUAAACAUUAUUAUUUUUAAAGAAAUCAUCAAUAACAGGUAAUAACAGGUAAUAUUUUUGACUAAAAUCAAAUUAAAAGAAAACAUAAAAAAAUAAAUAGAAAUGUGAACUUGAGAAUAAAAACUAAAAAAAAAAAUAAAUCUAAGAAAAUAAUUGAAAAAAAUAACAAAUUAAAGUAGUUUUGUAAGAAAUGAAAAACAAACAGCGCACCUCCUACCAACUUUAAAGAUUAACCAAAACUUAACCUAACAAUAAUAAUUUUUUGUUGUCUUUAAUUUGUCAAAUUUGUUCUCAUAAUGACAGUGCUAAACAAGAGUUUUGGAAUAUUCUUAUAGUUUUGGAAUUAUAUUAGAUAACAAAAUUACUACAGUGAAAAUAAAAAAUAAUUUUCAUAAAAAAAAUUAGUCUUAAUAAAUUAUAAAUAAUUUCAAAGUUAAAUAUUGAAAUUGAAUUAACUACCUACUUGGAUUCUGUUCUUAUCCACUUUAAAUACAUACAUAUGUAUAUGUAAAUGUAAACCAGGACAAUUCGAGUGAUUAUUAAAAAGAGCUAACUAAUACCUAAAGUUGAAAUCAGAACAAGAACGAUUAUCCGCGGCAAAAUGUCAAAAUUCAUAUGGAAUACAUACAUUUAAAUGGGGUAGCCAAGUAUCAAGCAAAAUUAUCGCCUCGAAUUAAACUGCCGGCCAUAAAAAAAGAACCUAAAUACAUACUAUAAUUUUAUCGGUGUGAAAUUUCGUUUUUCUAUGUAAUGUAAAUUCCAAAAAAAAAAUUAUAUCAAAUUUUCAAGAAAUAUUUACAAUACAUGUUUAUUCAAAAUUAAAAAUUUUUAAAAGAAAAUCAUUCAAAAUAAAUGAAAUGCUUCUAACCAUUCACAAUUUAUUAUACCUACGAAAAUGUAUGUGCUAUAUUUACUCAAAAAAUUUUCAUAAUAACUGUAAAAGAAUUUUAUUUAAUAAAUAAAUUAACCUCAACAGAUUUAACAUUUUAAUAUACACACUCUUGUAUACACAUACUUAUAUUGAAAUAUAAUAUAUAUGUAUGUAUGUAAUGUACAAAAAAAAUGUUUUCUAUUGAUAACAUUAUAAAAUUUUACAAAAGCAUAACAGCCAAAACCAUUUCUGCCGAACCAACAAACUGAAAUCAACUAUUCGUUAAUCGCUUAAAAUAUCAACCAGUAAUGCCAUAUGAUAAAAGUAUACAACAGAAAAUAUAAAAUUAAAAAAGAAACAAUAAAAAAAAAACACCAAUAUUAAAAGAAAAACAGAGGGAAAAUUUUACAAAAAAAAAAAAAUAAGCAACAAAAAAAAUUUUUUUUUACACUGAAAUAGCACUCAGUAGUUCAGCAGCAGUACGGCUCUACGACGAUACGAUUUUACGAUAGAUGUGUAUAAUUUUCAACGAAAAUAUAACAACAAAAAAAAAAUACAGCAUGGUACAUAUUAUAAAAUAUACAAUUUUAUAAAAUUCCAACAACAAAAAUAAAAUAUUAUAACAUCAACAGUAUGUAUAUUGUAUAGAAAAUAAAAGCAUGGUAUAUACAAAAUAAAAAAAAAAAGCAAAAACAAAGCAAGACAAAACAGCAGAAACACAAGGGAGACAGAAUAAAAUUCAAGGACAGGAACAUGAAAUAAAUGAUAUCGAUUACGAAAUUAUUACGUGAGUUUCUUUUUUUUUUUUGUUAUAAAUUUAAUAACACUGAUGGAAUAUUAUGAAAAGAAGGAAAUACAAAAAGUAAAUUUAUAAUAUUUUUUUUAAUAAAAUAUAUUGUACCUAUAAUUUUUUAUAUCCAUAUGUACAUAUGUACAUACAUAUGUAUAUUCUCGCAAUAUAUGUAAUACAUAUGUUUUUAUAUUAUUGCGGUAUAUGCAUGAAAAUAUAUUUGUAUAAAUUUAAAGAAAAAAAAAGAUACUAGCCAAAUUUUUCAUUUUUCAACUUGACGAUUAAUAUGAACAAUAACUGCCGAAAUUCUCAAAAUAUUGAAGGAUUGUUGUGCAAAAAAAAAAUUGCCGUGCGAUAUUUUGUUGAUUUUGACAAUAAUUUGAAUAAUUUUAUUUAUUUCCCUCUAAAACUUAAACUAUUAAUAACGAACACAACAAACAAUGACGUUUUGCAAAUUAAUUAUAUCUAUUAAAAAUUCAAACCGGUAGCCAAGUGGUUGCGUAUUGAGAUUCACAACUCAAAGAGCAAGAGUUCAAUUCAAAUUUGAGGUGCAUGUAUUGUUUCACUUUUUUUACAAAGGCCGUUUCCUCUUAUAUCAAAAUCAUACAACAGACAUUAGCCAAGAGAUAUGUAUAAUGCGGCAAGAUGUAUGUGUCGUAAAUUUCGAUAUACGUUUCCAAAACUAUUGAUUAUUAUUUCAGUUUUUCAGAUAAUAAUUGCGAAAAUAGUUUAAUUGCAAAUGAGUGUGAUUUGCAAAAUCAGUUGACAAGCAUGAUACGUAAUCAACAUGAACUUUGACAUACUGACAUACUGGUAAACGGGCAAAAUUUUACGUAAAACAAAAGUGAAUUUACUUAACAUGCUUUUAAAUAUUUCAUUUCUUGACUUAUUGUCGAAAAUGUAAUUUAAAAAGAAUGUUAACAAAAUUUUACCGGUAUUUCAACGUUUUUGACAAUAAAAUUCCAUUUUUAUUAAACAGAAACUAAUAAAAUAAUUUCAACCUAAACUAAUAAAAAUCAAAUUAUUCUUAAAAUAUUUUUUUUAUUCGUGUAGUAGUUUGCAGUUUUUAGACCGCGUAAAGUAAUAAAUUCAAUAAUUUUGUUUUCGUAUCUUUACUGUUCAUCAAAUAAUAUUAAACAUAACGUAUUUUACGUAGUAUGAGAAUUAGGUAAAAUUUUUAAAAUAAAUUUAAGUAAUUAUUAAUAAAAUAAAUUAUAAUAUCGUAUAAAAUACUAGGUAAAGUAAAAUUUUAAAUUGUUUAAUAUUUAAGUAAUUAUUUCAAUAAAUUAAAUUAUUUAAUAAUUUAUGUGUCUUUUAUUUUAAAUUAUUUCAUCUAUGCAAAGUAAUUUAAUUCCAG